AGAUUUGAAAUUUGGGAGCCGUUGGCGCCCUAUUUUCUAUUUUAUUUUUAUUUUCCUUUAUUUGUUUUCUUUUCAAUUUAAUUUAUCACUCAUUUUAAUUCAUUUUGAUCCAAUUUUUUUUACACAAAGUCUUUAAACAUAUUUUGUACCACAUACAUUUUUAUCCUAAUUUUUAAACUCAUUUUUGCAUAUAUUGUAAUUUUUCUUUUUUUCUUUUUAUUUUUUAUUUCUUUUUUCAAGUUAUUUUUCAAGCAUUCCAAAAUAUUUUUGCG
rnacentral:lncRNA from 1 species